UAGGGAAUCUUCCACAAUGGGCGCAAGCCUGAUGGAGCAACACCGCGUGAGUGAAGAAGGGUUUCGGCUCGUAAAGCUCUGUUGUUAAAGAAGAACACGUAUGAGAGUAACUGUUCAUACGUUGACGGUAUUUAACCAGAAAGUCACGGCUAACUACGUGCCG
rnacentral:rRNA from 1 species